GUAGCGGGCUCUCGCGGCUAGGGUGGGGGAAAGCAGGGUCUGCAACGCUAGUCUACCACUGAUCCAGAAGAUGGAGGAAGGAAAGACGGGAAGGCGAGGGUAAGGUCUUGGAGCCGUUCAGGUGAGAAAGCUGAUGGAAACUGGUGACACACAUUCAAGGUUCAAACUAGUGAAGAGGCUUAAACUAAGAGAUUGAUUUAUGGCCCUCCCUGGUGGCGCAGCGGGUUG